UUUGACUCAACACGGGGAAACUUACCAGGUCCAGACAUAGUAAGGAUUGACAGACUGAGAGCUCUUUCUAGAUUCUAUGGGUGGUGGUGCAUGGCCGUUCUUNCGGGCUUCCGCCCGUUGCUGCGAUGAUUCAUGAUAACUCGA
rnacentral:rRNA from 1 species